UCCUGGCUGCUCCAGUGACCUCCAAUCAGGGCAGCUCUGUGCCUUUCCUCACCCCUCUUCACCGGAGCUCAGAGCUGCCCAGUGCAGGCAUUUUGGUUGCAGGUUCCCUGCAUGGGGUUCAAGGCACACGAGCAAGCAUGACUUGGAUUCUCCUCAGCCUUUGCACUCUGCUCCUGGCUGCUGCUCUGGGCCUGGGCCCAGCCCCCUGGAGCCCAAGCUCUCUGAGAAGUGUGCGACCUGGCUGAGUUUGUUCACGAUUGUCCUCUGACGGAGCCUGGUUUCAUUUUCCUCAGCACGCCCUGUUUCCCUGUCCACACUGAGCUGGGUUUCACAUUCCACCGGCACUCCAGGCUUCUAGGACACCUGGUCUAUGACGAGUGGCACCUCCUCCUCCACUGGGGUGGACUGGAAUCCUCACCUGUGAAUGACACUGGAGUCCGGCGUGAGUCAUGCUGUCCGAGCCAUGGCUUGGUGCAGGAGCCUGCACAUGAGGUGGCCUGCCGUUCUGCCUUCUGCCCCCUCCAGGGCACCACAGGCCCCAGAGAGAUUCGAGGAGGAGGGGCUCUGGGUGCCAGAGGAGGAGGAGGGGCAGGGAGGAGGUGCUGCCUGGAGCAGAAGUGGAGGACCCUCUGCCAGUGCAGCGCCCACCACUGGCUCCUACAGGAGGGAGGCUCGGGUGCAAGGUUUCGUCCUGAGCCUCUGGGAGUGGUGACAAGUGGCCCUGCACUUACGGGAACAGACUCAGCCUGGACUGGCUCCCGACCGUUUCCUUUCCCCAGUUCUUGGUGCACACCCACCCAGGACACAGGGACGCUGCCUCGGCACCAGGAGAAAACCGAUGCCUGGUGGGAUGGAGAAGGCACAUCGGAUGGCAGCUCCACCAGGUGUGAGCUGUGUGAUCCAUCCAGAGAAGCCUCUGAGCCUCAGUUGUUUCAAGGACAAAUCAAGCUUUUCCAGAGCAUUCCCCACAGAUGCCUGGUCUUUUCCACUUCCUCUGAGCUACCCGAUUAAAUCCCCAGACCUCCUCACUCAAGAAGGUGGCAGUGGGAGGAAGUGUCAACUACUCAGCUCCUACUUCGGAGUCUCUCAUUUUCUCAUGCACCAUCCAGUUAAAAUCCUAUUAGAUCUGAAGUAAUGUUUAAGAAAAACAUUAAUUUUUUCUGGGUCUUAUUUGUCUGUCCACAUCUUUAUCCCCUGUGACUGGUUAGAAGGACUCAGGGAGGUUCUUUGUCUCUUAAACCACCGUGGUGUGUGCUUGUGCAUGUGUGUGCACAUGGAUUUAAGGGUGAUAAACAGGAGUGACUUGGGGCUCAGCAUAUGUAAGGACCAAGUGACUAUAUGAGGUUGUGGGUAUUUUUUUAAAGCCCGAUUUCAGUUGGUUCCCAUGUCCAGGUGACACUGGUUUGCACAGCUCUGUUAUUCAGGGCACAUGGGGAAACUGGGCUAAGAAAUGAAUCUGCAGCCUGGAACGAGCCCAGUAAAUCUCAGUAAGAACACCUCCCCUGACAGCCCCAUCAGGACCCUCACCCUGUGGCUUCCCUGCCCCAGUGCUCUAAGACGUUGUUGUGGGUCUUAGGGAGCCUGAUUGCACAGGGAAGUGCUUUCACAGAAACCUGUCCACACAAAGCCUCCCUUUAGGGGGACCCCAGCUCCCAGACGCCCAAGCUCACACCAGCCGAGGCUCCUAAAUCAGGGGGUGAAAACUGAUGGUGAGGAAGCACAGCAGACAUUAACACCAGCAAACGUUCAGCCUCACUGGCUAUCAAAAGAAAACACAGCCUUUUCACUUUAUCUCUAACACCUGGGGAGACAGAGUGGCCGGUGUGGCUGGUGUUAUCCAACGCCCCAUGGACUGUGGAGUGGGGCAAGUUAGAAAAACACUCUUGCUUGGCCAUUCAGCAGGACACAUUCAGAACCAUGAGCUCUUCAUACCCGACAGCGCUGCAUUUCUCUUCAUCAGUGCGGAAAAUGAGGAAAUAACUCAGCAGAAAAGGAGAAAUUCCUGACCUGCCUGAAAGUCAGCCAGCCCGCAUGUCCUACAGUGUAACAUCCUGGUGUGCAGAUGCUUCUGUUCACAGACAGUGGGCUCACACACACAAGCGUUCAGCAAAUUCUGCUUCUGUUCAUGAAUUCUGCAUCAGGAGACAAACACGACUGUGGCCGUCUUCCGAAGAAUCUUAGAAGGAUUUCAGACCGUGAACCGAAGUACCACUGUAGUAUGGAAAGAUGGGAAUGCCUUUCUGCAAUGGAAAUCGUUAAGGAAGUUUACUCAAUUAUCACAUGGCCACUCACUGAGGUAUUACAUGGUUAUUAAAAAGUGAUUCUGAAGAUCACAGAAACAAAAAUGUGUCUGACAUAAUGUUAAGAUAAAUGAGGUCACAAAGCU
rnacentral:lncRNA from 1 species